rfam:Oryza glumipatula chromosome 1, whole genome shotgun sequence.
AAUUUUUGACGACGUUGACUUUUUAGCACAUGUUUGACCGUUCGUCUUAUUCAAAAAAUUUAAGUAAUUAUUAAUUCUUUUACUAUCAUUUGAUUCAUUGUUAAAUAUAUUUUUAUGUAGGCAUAUAAUUUUACAUAUUUCACAAAAGUUUUUAAAUAAGACGAACGGUCAAACAUGUGCUAAAAAGUCAACGGUGUCAAACAUU